rnacentral:lncRNA from 1 species
UCCCAUCCUGGACUGCCCCACCCCACAGACACACCAGGACAAUGCACAGCCACCCACAGCAGAGGCUCUCACCCCACACCCCCUUGCACCAGAGGAGCUCAGCCAUGCAGGGAGGGGUGCAAUGGCACAGCUCAGCUUCCUCCGAAGCAGAACCCACAUCUGGACAGCUGUGCCCAAAAGGGAGUCUGAGGCUACAUGGACAUGGAGGAUUUUCUGAAAUCUCACUCAAGUGAAGCUCCACCAGCACCAGCAUUACUAAUCCUGCUUGAGCAAAGUUAUGCAAAAAUAUGGUACAAAUAUGAACAGGAACCAAAGCAUACUCUGCUUUAUGAAACCAAUGUUUUUUAUUAGGUAUUCCUGGUGGGAAAAGGGAUAAAAGCUGUAGGGGACAAAAAGUUGUCAAUGAAACUUAUUAGACUAAUGAAUCCAAGUUUAACCUCUGUAUAAACCAGCUGGAGUGAAGAAUGCCACUCUCUGUCUACUCUAGGCAGCCAAGUAGAAGGAAAAACCUUAGAAAAAGGUAAAAGCUGAAGAAGGCUGUCCCUAUACCAACAGAGAUAGUGUGGAGAGGCAUUUUGAAUGGAGAAGCUGCUCCCACAAAGUGCCAAACGUCCACAACCUGGAUGAGCCACAAGCUGGGAAAACAGUGGAAAGCUUCCUGAUUUAUUGGUGUGCUGGAAGACAGGGCAGGGAGCCAACUGAUGGAAGUGUAGUUGAAUGAAAGAUUGAAUCCUCACAUGUACACCAGUUAUUUAUUUUUCAAGGUUGGGAUUGAAGGUAUUUGAGAUGGCAUUUUAUGUUUGGACUUAGGUGUUUAUUAUUUUUUAUUUAUGUUACAGUCUCACUAUCGUGAGUUUGGUAGUUUUUUCAUUAGUAAGGUACAAAAUAGUUAAUUAACUUUUGUUACAAGGUUUUUUAAAACUAAACUAUUUAAUUAAGAAAGGACACCUAGAUUAUUUUUCCUUUUAACCCAAUAACUGAUACCCCAAUAUUUUUUUCUGUCUAAUCACAAAACAUCACUUAAACUCAUGAAGAAGAAGGAAGAAGGUAAAGAAGAACAACUUGUUUCUGCUUUAAAACUUCUAUUUUGCUUCAUAUUUAUUUUAAUAUUUUAAAAUAUUAAACUCUAAGUUUUCUGCUUGGUCAUAUUACACACUUCU